rnacentral:rRNA from 1 species
GUGGAUUAGGUACCCCAGUAGUCUUAGCUGUAAACGAUGAGCACUUGUUUGAAGGGUCCUCCAUAGCCUUUCAGACGUAGCGAAAGUGUUAAGUGCUCCGCCUGGGGAGUAUGGUCGCAAGGCUGAAACUCAAAGAAAUUGACGGGGGCUCACACAAGCGGUGGAGGAUGUGGCUUAAUUCGAGGCUACGCGAAGAACCUUAUCCUAGUCUUGACAUGUAUGGAUUAACCCUGUGAAAGCAGGGCCACGCCUUCGGGUGGAACAUACACAGGUGCUGCAUGGUUGUCGCCAGCU